UUAGAGUGUUCAAAGCAGGCAGAUAUUUCUUUUACUGCCACCGAAUACAUUAGCAUGGGAUAAUGGAAUAGGACCCUGUCCUUCAUGUUUCGCGUUGGUUGUGUGUUAAGUGCGUGCGCAAGCGCGCGGCUGGCACAUGGUGUUCGUCUAAAGGAGGACCAGGGUAAUGAUUAAUAGGGAUAGUUGGGGGCAUUAAUAUUUAAUUGUCAGAGGUGAAAUUCUUGGAUUUAUGAAAGAUUAACUUCUGCGAAAGCAUCUGCCAAGGAUGUUUUCAUUAAUCAAGAACGAAAGUUAGGGGAUCGAAGACGAUUAGAUACCGUCGUAGUCUUAACCAUAAACCAUGCCGACCAGCGAUUGGGAGACGUUUCACACGGAAGUGGUGCCGGGGAGGGCGCCUCUCGCUUUGCUCCGUAAAAAAGGGCCGAGCA
rnacentral:rRNA from 1 species